CCUGAUCCAGCCAUGCCGCGUGAGUGAAGAAGGCCUUCGGGUUGUAAAGCUCUUUCGGCGGGGGACGAAACGGUCCCGUGCCAACACCACGGACUAAUGACGGUACUCGCAGAAGAAGCACCGGCUAACUACGUGCCAGCAGCCGCGGUAAUACGUAGGGUGCGGGCGUUAAUCGGAAUUACUGGGCGUAAAGCGUGCGCAGGCGGCUCCUUAAGUCAGAUGUGAAAUCCCCGGGCUUAACCUGGGAACUGCGUUUGAAACUGAGGGGCUUGAGUGUGGAAGAGGGGGGUGGAAUUCCAGGUGUAGCAGUGAAAUGCGUAGAGAUCUGGAGGAACACCGAUGGCGAAGGCAGCCCCCUGGGCUAACACUGACGCUCAUGCACGAAAGCGUGGGGAGCAAACAGGAUUAGAUACCCUGGUAGUCCACGCCCUAAACGAUGUCAACGGGUUGUCGGGGAAGCAAUUCCUUGGUAACGAAGCUAACGCGUGAAGUUGACCGCCUGGGGAGUACGGCCGCAAGGUUA
rnacentral:rRNA from 1 species